rnacentral:rRNA from 1 species
UAAGUUAAUCUAAGGAGUUUUCCCGAAAGCAUAAGAUCUAAGUAUAUUAUAAGGUUGUAGCCUAAAGUUUAAUUACUGUGGCAUUAGUUUGUAAUAAAUUGUAUCUUAGUGGUGAAAGGCCUACAAUUAUGUUGAUAUCUGGAUAGUUGCUAAAUAUAUUUAGUUUAUAAUAAAUCUAUGAAGUGAUAAGAUUUCAUAGUUAGAAUUUUAAAUGUGUACUUCAAAUUACUUUUAAUUAAUACUUAGCAGUAAUCACUUUUGAAAAAUAAUUUUAUAACCAUAAUUCUUUAGUAGUAACUCAUUUGUUUUAAUUACCUUAAAAUUGAUAAUGUAUAAAUAAGUAUAUAUAUAAAUUUAACUAAAUAAACUCGGCAAAUAUUAUAUACGACUGUUUAACAAAAACAUAGCCGGUAGUUAAUAACAUUAUCGGUGCGACCUGCCCGGUGAACUUUUAACGGCCGCAGUACUAUGACUGUGCAAAGGUAGCAUAAUCAUUUGACUUUUAAUUGAAGUCUAGCAUGAAAGGGAAAACGUAUAUAAACUGUAUCAGGUGUAAGUUUAUGCAAAUUAUUUAUAGGGUGAAAAUACCCUAAAUUAGAAAAAUAGACGAGAAGACCCUUAGAAUUUUAAGAAAGCAUCAUCAAUUAUGUCAUGAUUUUUGUUGGGGCAACAUUUUUUCAUAUAAAUAAACACCAACCGCAAUUACACAACGAAAAUGUUUAAUAAAGAAAAAAUUACCUUAGGGAUAACAGCAUAAUUUUAAAUAAAGAUUGUGACCUCGAUGUUGGACUAGGAAAUAUUAAGGCUAGUCGUUUUAAUAUAAUAGGUUCUGUUCGAACUUUGUUUCCUA